rnacentral:sRNA from 1 species
CUUUCCCCGUGGCCUGAGUUUGUGGCUGCAUUUUUAUCCCUGGUGGCUCUGCUACGGCGGCGCAGAAAUGAGGCAGAAGCGGAAAGGAGAUCUCAGCCCUGCUGAGCUGAUGAUGCUGACUAUAGGAGAUGUUAUUAAACAACUGAUUGAAGCCCACGAGCAGGGGAAAGACAUCGAUCUAAAUAAGGUGAAAACCAAGACAGCUGCCAAAUAUGGCCUUUCCGCCCAGCCCCGCCUGGUGGAUAUCAUUGCUGCCGUUCCUCCUCAGUAUCGCAAGGUCUUGAUUCCCAAGUUAAAGGCGAAACCCAUCAGAACUGCUAGUGGGAUUGCUGUCGUGGCUGUGAUGUGCAAACCCCACAGAUGUCCACACAUCAGUUUUACAGGAAAUAUAUGUGUAUACUGCCCUGGUGGACCUGAUUCUGAUUUUGAGUAUUCCACCCAGUCUUACACUGGCUAUGAGCCAACCUCUAUGAGAGCUAUCCGUGCCAGAUAUGACCCUUUCCUACAGACAAGACACCGAAUAGAACAGGUACAUUUUUAAAAAACAUGUUUCUUAAAAAUUAGGUGUUUAUACUUAGUAAGAAGCCAUUGUUGCUUGAUUCAAAUUGAACCUGAAAUAAGAACGAAAAAGGUGUUUUUCCUCUUUGUAAGUUUUCAAUAUCCAUUUGAGGGAGGGAGAAUUUGCCAUGCCUACCAAGGUCAAAAACACUACUUUCUUUAAAGACUGUAUUUAUUGUUUAAGGGUUUUAUAUUCUCUAAGUUUUUUUGAAUUUGUAGAAAGUCGUUUGUAGUAUGAAAUUUGUAGAAUAAAGAUGUAUGAAAGUUCUUAGACAAUGGGUGGGUGUGUUGACUUUUAAUUUCCAAAAGUCAGAAGUAUUUUGACUGGCCAUGCGCAAUGGCUCAUGCCUGUAAUCCCAACCCUUUGGAAGGCUGUGACAGCAGGUCACUUGAGCCUAAGAGUUCGAGACCAGCCUGGGCAACAUAGCAAAACCCCAUCU